GUUGUACGAGAAUUUUUAAUUCAAGUGGCGGACGGGUGAGUAACACGUAAGAAUUUACCUUUAGGAGGGGGACAACAAUUGGAAACGAUUGCUAAUACCCCAUAUGCUUUUAUAGUGAAAUGAACUUUUCGCCUAAAGAGAAGCUUGCGGCUGAUUAGCUUGUUGGUAAGGUAAUGGCUUACCAAGGCGACGAUCAGUAUCUGGUUUGAGAGGAUGAUCAGACACACUGGAACUGAGACACGGUCCAGACUCCUACGGGAGGCAGCAGUGGGGAAUUUUCCGCAAUGGGCGAAAGCCUGACGGAGCAAUCUCGCGUGAGGGAUGACGGCCUAUGGGUUGUAAACCUCUUUUUUCAGGGAGGAAUAAAAUGACGUGUACCUGAAGAAUAAGCAUCGGCUAACUCCGUGCCAGCAGCCGCGGUAAGACGGAGGAUGCAAGUGUUAUCCGGAAUCACUGGGCGUAAAGCGUCUGUAGGUGGUUUAAUAAGUCAACUGUUAAAUCUUGAGGCUCAACCUCAAAAUCGCAGUCGAAACUAUUAGACUAGAGUAUAGUAGGGGUAGAGGGAACUUCUAGUGUAGCGGUGAAAUGCGUANAUAUUANAAAGAACACCAGUGGCGAAAGCGCUCUACUGGACCAUUACUGACACUCAGAGGCGAAAGCUAGGGUAGCAAAAGGGAUUAGAUACCCUGGUAGUCCCCUGAAUUCUGCAGAUA
rnacentral:rRNA from 1 species